CCUACGGGAGGCAGCAGUGGGGAAUAUUGCUCAAUGGGGGAAACCCUGAAGCAGCAACGCCGCGUGGAGGAUGAAGGUUUUCGGAUUGUAAACUCCUUUUGUUAGAGAAGAUAAUGACGGUAUCUAACGAAUAAGCACCGGCUAACUCCGUGCCAGCAGCCGCGGUAAAACGGAGGGUGCAGGCGUUACUCGGAAGCACUGGGCGUAAAGCGCGCGUAGGCGGGAUAGCAAGUCAGAUGUGAAAGCCUAUGGCUUAACCAUAGAACUGCAUUUGAAACUGUUAUUCUAGAGUAUGGGAGAGGUAGGUGGAAUUCUUGGGGUAGGGGUAAAAUCCGUAGAGAUCAAGAGGAAUACUCAUUGCGAAGGCGACCUGCUAGAACAUAACUGACGCUGAUGCGCGAAAGCGUGGGGAGCAAACAGGAUUAGAUACCCCAGUAGUC
rnacentral:rRNA from 1 species